UUAAAACUCCGGUGUCCUCGCUCGUCGACUCUGCCUUUGGAAUGCGUGACCAGAGAUGCCUGUGAGGGUAGUCGAGAGCUCCUCCCCCUCCCAAUCCUCCGGACGGGUUAAACCUAUCCUACAAGUAAAUGCUACUUAGAUGUGGCUGCUGCUUGUGGGUCACAGGAACCAGUUGACGUGUGCAAGAAGACAAGCAACGCCGCCUCGGGAGGUGCACAAGAACCUUUGUCUCCAACUUCUUCUUCUUCCUGCUGGCUUGAUCACACAACUCUCACCUCUCACUAGAAAUUCCUCUAUUUUCUAAAAUCUUAACCAAACCUCACAAAUAGGUAGUCAAAAUUUGCAGAAAAUUAAGAGGAACUCAGAUCCAACAUAACCUUAUAACUCUGGACCUCGCUAGAACCGGAAACCCUCCAGGAAAAAACUUUCGCUCAAAAAACCUUUGCAAGAAAAGUUCAAAAUAUUAUUCAAUAAUCAUCGUCCCUUUUCAUAAAACCUUGUAGGUUAUUUAUAUCCUAAUUACAUCCGAGAAAAAAUCUCAACUAGAGAUUUAUCUAAAAAGAAAAUAACCGAAAAAAAUCUUAACUAGAGAUUUAUCUAAAAGGAAAAUAUAACAAAUAUUCCUAACAAGAAAAUCUUAAAAUAACAAAGUAAAUCAAGAAUAAUCUUCAGAUCCAUAUAGCGGGUUCGGGUGCCAACUUGCGCCGCCUUCGUUGAUAGACCUGAAACUCGGGCGAUGAGACGGGUCGGGUU